rnacentral:rRNA from 1 species
UACGUAGGGGGCAAGCGUUGUCCGGAAUCAUUGGGCGUAAAGAGCGUGUAGGCGGUCCGAUAAGUCCGCUCUGAAAGCCCGGGGCUCAACCCCGGGAGGCGGGCGGAUACUGUCGGGCUAGAGUCCGGAAGAGGCAAGUGGAAUUCCUGGUGUAGCGGUGAAAUGCGCAGAUAUCAGGAGGAACACCGGUGGCGAAGGCGGCGUUCUGGACUGCAACUGACACUGAGGAACGAAAGCCAGGGGAGCAAACGGG